CAAUAGCGUAUAUUAAAGUUGUUGCAGUUAAAAAGCUCGUAGCUGACUCGCUGUUCUGUCCGUCCCUUACUUCAGUGUAUGCGGACGUUAGGAACAUACUAAUCGUUGUACAGCCACCGGUUGUUCUACGAUUAAUUUUACUUUGAGUAAAUUAGAGUGUUUCAAGCAAGCUAGCGCUAUGAAUACUGUAGCAUGGAAUAAUGAGAUAACAAUUAUGUCUCUUAUUGGUUAGAGCAUAAAUGUGAUGACUGAGAGAAACAGCUGGGGGCACUCGUAUUCAACAGUCAGAGGUGAAAUUCUUAGAUUUGUUGAAGACGAACAACAGCGAAAGCAUUCGCCAAGAAUGUUUUCUUUAGUCAAGAACGAAAGUUAGGGGAUCGAAGACGAUCAGAUACCGUCGAGCAUUCGCCAAGAAUGUUUUCUUUAG
rnacentral:rRNA from 1 species